rnacentral:rRNA from 1 species
AGAGUUUGAUCCUGGCUCAGAACGAACGCUGGCGGCAGGCUUAACACAUGCAAGUUGAACGGGAUUGUUAAGUAGCUUGCUAUUUAACAAGAGAGUAGCGCACUGGUGAGUAACACGUGGGAACGUACCUUUUGGUGGGGGACAACAUCUGGAAACGGAUGCUAAUACCGCAUAAGACCUGAGGGUGAAAGAUUUAUCGCCGAAAGAACGGCCCGCGGAAGAUUAGGCAGUUGGUGGGGUAAAGGCCUACCAAACCUACGAUCUAUAGCUGGUCUGAGAGGACGAUCAGCCACACUGGAACUGAGACACGGUCCAGACUCCUACGGGAGGCAGCAGUGAGGAAUAUUGGGCAAUGGAGGCAACUCUGACCCAGCCAUGCCGCGUGAGUGAAGAAGGUUUUCGGAUUGUAAAGCUCUUUCGGAUGUGACGAUGAUGACGGUAGCAUCUAAAGAAGCCCCGGCUAACUUCGUGCCAGCAGCCGCGGUAAUACGAAGGGGGCGAGCGUUGUUCGGAAUUACUGGGCGUAAAGGGUGUGUAGGCGGUUAUGUAAGAUAGCGGUGAAAUCCCGGGGCUUAACCUCGGAAUAGCCGUUAUAACUAUGUAGCUAGAGUUAUGGAGAGGAUAGCGGAAUACCCAGUGUAGAGGUGAAAUUCGUAGAUAUUGGGUAGAACACCGGUGGCGAAGGCGGCUAUCUGGCCAUAUACUGACGCUGAGGCACGAAAGCAUGGGGAUCAAACAGGAUUAGAUACCCUGGUAGUCCAUGCUGUAAACGAUGAAUGCUGGUUGUCGGCUUUAGGGUCGGUGACGAAGUUAACGCGAUAAGCAUUCCGCCUGGGGAGUACGGUCGCAAGAUUAAAACUCAAAGGAAUUGACGGGGACCCGCACAAGCGGUGGAGCAUGUGGUUUAAUUCGAAGCAACGCGAAGAACCUUACCAAGUCUUGACAUCCCACUGACCGGACAGUAAUGUGUCCUUUCCUUCGGGACAGUGGAGACAGGUGGUGCAUGGUUGUCGUCAGCUCGUGUCGUGAGAUGUUGGGUUAAGU